AAACCUUCCCAAGUCGUUUGAGGGGNUCCCAAGUAGCACGGGGCCCNNGAAAUCCUGUGUUAAUCUGCCAGGACCACCUGGUAAGCCUAAAUACUCCCUGAUGACCCAUAGCGGA
rnacentral:rRNA from 1 species